rnacentral:tRNA from 1 species
GCUCCUGUGGCGCAAUCGGUUAGCGCGGUACUUAUAAUGCCCGAGGUUGUGAGUUCGAGCCUCACCUGGAGCA